CGGAACGGGUGAGUAACGCGUGAGGAACCUGCCUCAAAGAGGGGGACAACAGUUGGAAACGACUGCUAAUACCGCAUAAGCCCACGGCUCGGCAUCGAGCAGAGGGAAAAGGAGCGAUCCGCUUUGAGAUGGCCUCGCGUCCGAUUAGCUAGUUGGUGAGGUAACGGCCCACCAAGGCGACGAUCGGUAGCCGGACUGAGAGGUUGAACGGCCACAUUGGGACUGAGACACGGCCCAG
rnacentral:rRNA from 1 species